rnacentral:misc_RNA from 1 species
CAAUGCAGGCUCUGUCGUGCAGGAAUGCUUUCCGCAUCGCUGUCGUAACUGGCAGACAAAUCAAGUAAAGGAGCUCAAAUGAAGGAGUUUAAGUAGCCAAAAAGAGUUUGUGCUAGCCGUCCUUGCGGCUGUUGCCGCUCUGGCACAUGCUGAAGACAAGCCGGUCACCGAAAAGAAGCCGGAAGCAGAACCGACACCCGCCACUACGGAGGAGAAGAAGGAGGGCGUCGAUAGUCGUAUUGGUUUCGGCACCGGAUUUGGCCACGUAGCAGGUGGCAAUGGCUAUGGAUUCAACCGCGGCGUGUCUGGCUUCAACCAGGGUAGCGGAGGAUUCGGCAGUGCAAACGCCUUCAACAACGUGCAGGGCUUCAGGAACCGCGAUGGCUACCGCACCAACCACGGAUUCGACCAAACCACCUACAACCGCUACGGCGCUGGCUAUGGAGGUUUUAACAAUGGCUUCAACCGUGGUGCUGGCGGCUUCUACAACCAAUACGGAGGGCACGGUGGAUUCUUAGGCUGAAAGAAGAGGAACGUCACACCAGCUACAAGCGGAACUGCCAAA